rnacentral:rRNA from 1 species
AUGUCGUCGUCGUCGAUUGGUUCCGCCUGUUCACACGGCGGAGCGAUUCGACGGAGAGGCGCUGCAGCUCGGUCGCCGGUGCCGUAUCGUGAGCAGCCGAUGGAGUACGAGCCGGCGGUUUUCUGCGGCCGCUGCGGGAGGAAGGCGCCGCGGUGGAUAUCAUGGAGUGUGGCGAACCCUGGACGGAGAUAUUAUUCAUGCGUCGAAGCUCAGGUAUGCUCUGUGCUCUGUCCUCCUAUGCUCUGUUCAAUUUCUUUGUCUUAUAAACUUCUGUCUUUUGAACAGCAUGGGUUCAUACAGUGGCACGACGACCUAACAUCUCCAUUCCUGCGUGUAUUGCUAGGAGAUCUUCGAGAUAGGGUACGGAGCUAG